rnacentral:rRNA from 1 species
CGGGACGGGUGAGUAAUGUCUGGGAAACUAGCCUGAUGGAGGGGGAUAACUACUGGAAACGGUAGCUAAUACCGCAUAACGUCGCAAGACCAAAGAGGGGGACCUUCGGGCCGUCUUGCCAUCGGAUGUGCCCAGAUGGGAUUAGCUAGUAGGUGGGGUAACGGCUCACCUAGGCGACGAUCCCUAGCUGGUCUGAGAGGAUGACCAGCCACACUGGAACUGAGACACGGUCCAG